UGAGCAACCUGCCCUUGACCCUGGAAUAACAGCUGGAAACAGCUGCUAAUACCGGAUAUGACCUCCGAUGGCAUCAUCUGGAGGUGGAAAGCUCCGACGGUCAAGGAUGGGCUCGCGGCCUAUCAGCUUGUUGGUGAGGUAAUGGCUCACCAAGGCGACGACGGGUAGCCGGCCUGAGAGGGUGACCGGCCACACUGGGACUGAGACACGGCCCAGAUCCGUACGGG
rnacentral:rRNA from 1 species